GUGGAUUAGAUACCCGGGUAGUCCUAGCCGUAAACGAUGGGUACUAGGUGUAGGGGGUAUCGACCCCCCCUGUGCCGGAGUUAACGCAAUAAGUACCCCGCCUGGGGAGUACGGCCGCAAGGUUGAAACUCAAAGGAAUUGACGGGGGCCCGCACAAGCGGUGGAGUAUGUGGUUUAAUUCGACGCAACGCGAAGAACCUUACCAAGGCUUGACAUUGAGUGAAAUGUUAAGAGAUUAGCACCCCUCUUCGGAGGCACGAAAACAGGUGGUGCACGGCUGUCGACAGCU
rnacentral:rRNA from 1 species